ACCUCGUGGUAGUAAGUGCUCUCUCAGUGUUCACUGUUGCUAUCUCCAUUUUCCAGUUGAGCAGACUAACACUGGAUGAGUUAGAUAACUGCCCAAAGUCACUGAGCUAAUAAGUGCUUUUGAAACCCAUGCUCUUAGCCGUGACUCCAUGGCAGUGCUUCUUAGCCUUUUACGCAUCCUGGCAUACAUGGAAAAUAUUAUUACUCACACAGCAUUGGGGGGAAUGAAUGGGACAACUCUAGGCUUGAGGCGAUGCGUCUGAUGGGCUCUGGCCAUCCCAAGCUCCUUCAGGCCAGCUGGUACUCUGCUGUACUGGAACAGAUGCCGAAGAUGGAGACAGAAGGACAAGCACCAACAAAAUCCCAAGACUAGAAGAUGGAUAAAAACUAGACUUUCCCAAGGAUGUCUUCACAAGAAAAAAACAGCAGUUUCCUGAGCAGAACAACUAGCUACAGCAUCUUCUACGGGAGGACUGGCAGCAGCAGCAUCCAGGCAAGGAAUGGCACCAUCUGGAGUGAUAGUCACAUGGGAAUACAUGUGCAUCAUUCAUCAGGUUGUGCAAUCAGAAAUUCAUUCAUGUGAGGAAAAAGCAGUUAAAACCUAUGGAAAAAGGCCAAAGAAAGCGGCUGUCAGACUGAUCGCUUUUUGGCAGAGGCUGAGAUCAAGAUUUACCAAGGAAAGCCCACGUAAAUAUGACCCAAGAGGAAGCGACAGAGCUCAAGAGCACUGCUAAGCCUGGAAACUGGAAUUUCAGUUACCUUGCAAGGUGCCUUCUUCAAAUGAAUUUUUAAAUAUCUCCAUGAUGGUGAAGAAGAACAGAGACAUCAAUUAGGAUCCAGGGAGACGAGUCUUUGCAGAAAAGGCUUAGAGCAUUCCUGGAUAGCUAUGACUAUUUGGAAGUUUAAAAGACGGUAUACUUUUCUUCGGUCAACAAAUGACAAAAGUAAAGGCACUUGUCCUCGCGGUUUUUGGAAGAAGCCUGGCAGCGUUCCAUUCAGGCAUCUGCCCUUUGAUCAUCCCAUUUUCCUCUAUGUCAGUCCUUCUCAUCAUCAAGGCGGCGUCUCAGUAUUUCUUCUGGAGGCUUCUUCUGAUCAUCUCUGCCCUCAAGGACAACUCCGUCCUCCAACUCCUGAUGAUCCUAACCUAUUUUUUUUUUUAAAGAUUCUAUUUAUUUAUUCAUGAGACACACACACACACACACACACAGAGAGAGAGAGAGAGAGAGAGAGAGAGAGAGAGAGAGGCAGGUGGAGACACAAGCAGAAGGAGAAGCAGGCUCCGAGCAGAUCCCGUGACCCCAGGGUCACGACCUGGGCCGCAGGCGGUGCUAACCGGCUGAGCCACCCGGGGUGCCCGGUGGUACUUUACAACUAAAACUUUAGUAGAAUGACACGUUAUACUAUCAUUGAAUACAGAGGAUGCUUCUCUGCAAGUGUCUUGGGCACCUGCCUGGACAAUUCUGUCCUUCCCAUCCUCAGCGUCCAGGCAAGUGCUCUGUCGAUGGUAGAGAAGUACCUGCUGGCGACGGCAACAGUCCGUUCAAAUCAGAUGUAUAUUAUUUUUUAAGAUGAGUGAGAGGAGCGACAACGCGGACUCUUCGGGAACCGGGACCCGGGAGCCUCAUUCAUGGUCCCUGACGUGCAAGCUCGGCGCGCGGGUGGCGGGCGGCAGGCGGCGGGUGCGGGGCCGGGGGAGGCAAGAACGUCACCGGAAGUGAGCAUUUUCUCUUGCAAG